rnacentral:rRNA from 1 species
AUACGUAGGGGACAAGCGUUAUCCGGAUUUACUGGGCGUAAAGGGCGUGUAGGCGGUCUUGCAAGUCAGAAGUGAAAUUCCUGAGCUCAACUCGGGCGCUGCUUCUGAAACUGCAGGACUUGAGUGCUGGAGGGGAUAGCGGAAUUCCUAGUGGAGCGGUAAAAUGCGCAGAUAUUAGGAAGAACACCGGUGGCGAAGGCGGCUAUCUAGAUAGUAACUGACGCUGAGGCGCGAAAGCGUGGGGAAAAAACAGGAUUAGAUGCGCUGGUCGUCCACGCCGUAAACAAUGGAUACUAGGUGUAGGGGGUAUCGACUCCCUCUGUGCCGCAGUUAACACAAUAAGUAUGCCGCCUGGGGAGUACGGCCGCAAGGUUGAAACUCAAAUGAAUUGACGGGG